rnacentral:rRNA from 1 species
UACGGGGGGGGCGAGCGUUGUUCGGAAUUACUGGGCGUAAAGGGCGCGUAGGCGGUCUGCUAAGUUGGGUGUGAAAACUCUGGGCUUAACCCAGAGCCUGCAUUCAAAACUGACAGGCUAGAGUUCUGGAGGGGGUAGCGGAAUUCCUGGUGUAGCGGUGAAAUGCGUAGAUAUCAGGAGGAACACCGGUGGCGAAGGCGGCUACCUGGACAGAAACUGACGCUGAGGCGCGAAAGCUAGGGGAGCAAACAGG